ensembl:lncRNA
AAAAAUAAAAGCAUUUAAUAUGGGGUUUUCACAUGAACACACAGAAAGGCAGCAGUCUGAAAUAGUACAUACAUAGCAUAUAUAAAUAAGGACAAAGAUUAAAAAUACUUUGGAAACGAUAGACUCUGGGAACAGUUAGUGGCUGCUCUGGGAGGAAGUAUCCUUGUGAGUGACUGCACAGGGCAGACAAACGAGACACAUUCAGGCAUGACUAAAACUCCGCUGUGCCUGUGAGACACUGUGAGCACAUUGGCACUGCAACAGCCAAGGGUCCUAGAGGCCAAAUCUGUUAGCCACCACCCCCCUCAGCACCAUGGGCUUAAGCCCAGGGCACCAAACCCCUCCUGGGACUGCCAAACCUCUCCUGGGACUGCUGUGUGGACACUGCAUGCACCCCUUUGGCAGGGGAGGCAUCUGAGACAUGCAGAACGCCAGGCUGAUGCCCCAUAGCUAAUUUUUCUUAGAGCAAAUUUCAGCUGAAGCCAGACGGAGUCCCUGAGCUAGAGCCAGUAUGGGGAUAGAAGAGUGAUGUUCCUCUCAUAGAUAUUGAGCAGUGUAUUUAGUCUUAACAGCAAGACUGCCUUGCAAGCAGACACCCAUACAGAGAUACGUGCUCAGGUAAGCUGGGCGCGAUGGAGAGAGGAGUAGGAUGAACAAAUGCUUCAUCCAGCAACCACCCCUGAUGCAAGUAAGAGCAGAGGUGGCAGGACCAGACCCAGCUCCCCCUGUGCUGCUGCUCAACCUUGGCUCUGUCUCAUCUUUGUUCAGAGGCAAAGCCAAGAUCCCCAGGUCUCCACCAAUAACGGACUGCAGGGGCAGGGUAGAAGUGCAAAAGUGCAGUCAGCAACACACAAUGGUGCCCUUUGAGGAGCACAUAGACAGCUUCAGCCUCCUGAGGGAACGAUUACAGACACAUCCAAAAAGCACAUACUACUACCACAGCAAAAAGCCUCUGCCCUUUCUCACAGCAUCCUUGCCUGCCCAGUCCCUGAAGAACCAGAGCUCACUCUUUGCUGCCACAGAGGCUCCUAACACCAGCAACUCCCAUCUCACACAUCUACAGUCCCACUACCCCCUACAUUUUCAAGGCAGCUCCUCCAUUUUGGGGUCAGGCUGGGGACAGGCACCCUUGAUAAAGUACCAGGAACAUCCCUUUGGACAGAGCAGCAUGAGGAAUAUGCUUUGUAUCUCAGAAAAACAAAAAUCACGGUAAAAGUGACAAAUUCCAGCUAAGCUGCACAGGGCUCUGAUGGCCUGUUUUGACAGCUCUAGCCUGUUGGACUGAACUCCCUGCUCACAUCCCAGUAUUCACACCUCCUGCCACCAGUUGUCUCUGAAAGCUGUCAAGGACAGAGCUCUAACUCCUGCCGGCUGCUGGUUCUUAAAGAUUAGAAGACAAUUAUAAUUGGAUUCCAGAGAUUAUUUGCUUCACCGACAAGGACUGAGAAGUGUUUAGAUGGUUCCCCAGCUGAUUAAAUCUUUAUUUCACAGUAGUGACCCUCUGUGUUUCCUACCCAAGAGUGCUUGCAGACAGGUACUUGGCAAGAUUGGCUUAUUGGAGCACUUUAGCUUAACAAGACCGCUGACGCUAGCCAGCUGUGCUGAGGGUUUAUCCUGUAUCUAGAUGGUUUCAUCUCAUCUUUGCAGCUCAGUCGAAAGAGCUCAAUCCAGACCCAGCCCUUUCCCCCAGCUUAAUAACUAAUCAACCAGUUGCCUGUCCAGCCAUCCAGAUAUCUUAAGCCAAAGCCUUUGGCACCAUUUGCAGCAGAUCACAAAUGGCUGGAGCCCUGUCCCGCCUCUCAUGCUGCUCAUGUUGUUCCUAUGCUGGACACAGCACAAGACUGCCUGCCUCAGACACCCC